AUAAGGUCAGCAUGCAGAUCCAUUUUCUGCCACCGAAUACAUUAGCAUGGGAUAAUGGAAUAGGACCCUGUCCUCCUAUUUUCAGUUGGUUUUGGCAGCGCGAGGACUAGGGUAAUGAUUAAUAGGGAUAGUUGGGGGCAUUAAUAUUUAAUUGUCAGAGGUGAAAUUCUUGGAUUUAUGAAAGAUUAACUUCUGCGAAAGCAUCUGCCAAGGAUGUUUUCAUUAAUCAAGAACGAAAGUUAGGGGAUCGAAGACGAUCAGAUACCGUCGUAGUCUUAACCAUAAACGAUGCCGACCAGCGAUUAGGAGACGUUGAAUACAAAACACCACCAUCGGCGCGGUCGUCCUUGGCGUGUCUCGGCUUCACGGCCGGGGCGCGCGAGGGCGGUUUAGCCCGGUGGCACCGGUGAAUGACUCCCUAGAGGUUGGUGAAAA
rnacentral:rRNA from 1 species